CCUACGGGUGGCAGCAGUGGGGAAUAUUGGACAAUGGGCGAAAGCCUGAUCCAGCCAUGCCGCGUGUGUGAAGAAGGCCUUCGGGUUGUAAAGCACUUUCAGUGGGGAAGAAAGCCUUGGGGCUAAUACCCUCGAGGAAGGACAUCACCCACAGAAGAAGCACCGGCUAACUCCGUGCCAGCAGCCGCGGUAAUACGGAGGGUGCGAGCGUUAAUCGGAAUUACUGGGCGUAAAGCGCGCGUAGGCGGUCUGAUAAGCCGGUUGUGAAAGCCCCGGGCUCAACCUGGGAACGGCAUCCGGAACUGUCGGGCUAGAGUGCAGGAGAGGAAGGUAGAAUUCCCGGUGUAGCGGUGAAAUGCGUAGAGAUCGGGAGGAAUACCAGUGGCGAAGGCGGCCUUCUGGACUGACACUGACGCUGAGGUGCGAAAGCGUGGGUAGCAAACAGGAUUAGAUACCCCGGUAGUC
rnacentral:rRNA from 1 species